AUACGUAGGUGACAAGCGUUAUCCGGAUUACUGGGCGUAAAGGGCGUGUAGGCGGUCUUGCAAGUCAGAAGUGAAAUUCCUGAGCUCAACUCGGGCGCUGCUUCUGAAACUGCAGGACUUGAGUGCUGGAGGGGAUAGCGGAAUUCCUAGUGGAGCGGUAAAAUGCGCAGAUAUUAGGAAGAACACCGGUGGCGAAGGCGGCUAUCUGGACAGUAACUGAAGCUGAGGCGCGAAAGCGUGGGGAGAAAACAGGAUUAGAUACCCGGGUAGUCCACGCCGUAAACGAUGAAUACUAGGUGUAGGGGGUAUCGACUCCCUCUGUGCCGCAGUUAACACAAUAAGUAUUCCGCCUGGGGAGUACGGCCGCAAGGUUGAAACUCAAAGGAAUUGACGGGG
rnacentral:rRNA from 1 species